rnacentral:lncRNA from 1 species
UGAGUGUAUGAGUUCGACCAGAAUGCCAGGGGCGACCAAGGGGAAGAACUCCAAACCUAGUUCUUGUUUAAAUCCACAAAUUGAAGGUCAAGAUCAGCCCUAAAACGAGAUCUGAACCCGGAUUAGUGAUCCCCAUUGAAAGGGGAGUCACAAGGUAUGUAAAUUUUAUGAAAAAAUCUCUAGUUGGAUUUCUAGGUGAUAUGGUAUGAGCAAAGAAAAGUGUCGUGUAGCACUCCCAGCUUAGAAAAGUGGCUCAAUGUA